GACACAUGGUUAAUCAAGAUCUCAGACAAAGAGUAAAUCAAGAUGAUCAACACACAAAGCGUACAAGAUGUACCGAGAGGGAUCAAGUGAUCCCAUGGUAUGGAUUUGUCCAUAGGCACUUCUUGAAGUCCAUCUGUUGGGUUCAAGGAGUUUAUAUGAUGACCAAGAUGGUAUUCAAGGUAUUAUCCAAAGAAUGGUCAUAGAGACACAUGGUUGAUCAAGAUCUCUGACAAAGAGUAAAUCAAGAUGAUCAACACACAAAGCGUACAAGAUGUACUAAGAGGGAUCAAGUGAUCCCAUGGUAUGGUAAGCAUUGUCCAUUACGUGUUUGUGUACUAACCCAUGGUCUUCGUGAUAGUUCUAUGUGGGGGUUAGGUGUGUUUACAUGGGCUUGCGUCAAAGGGAAGAUCUCAUACAACCCAUGGAGUAUGACGUCAAGAUGUGAUCAUCAUCAAUGGUUGAUCAAGAUCUCAGACAAACAGUAAAUCAAGAUGAUCAAGACACAAAGCGUACAAGAUGUACCGAGAGGAAUCAAGUGAUCCCAUGGUAUGGUAAGCAUUGUCCAUUACGUGUUUGUGUACUAACCCAUGGUCUUCGUGAGAGCUCUAUGUGGGGGUUAGGUGUGUUUCCAUGGGCUUGCGUCAAAGGGAAGAUCUCAUACAACCCAUGAAGUAUGACGUCAAGUUGUGAUAGUCAUCAAGAUUGCGAUGUGCAAGUUCAAGUGGAUCAGCACGAAGAUAUCAUGCUUGAAGCUUGUCGUCCAUUGUGGUGGCAAUGGACUUGUGAAGAUAUGCUGAAGAGUGGCUCACCCAUAGUGAGUAUGGGGGAGCAAUCAACUAGUCUUCAUCAAGCCAACAC
rnacentral:lncRNA from 1 species